rnacentral:rRNA from 1 species
AGAGUUUGAUCCUGGCUCAGAAUGAACGCUGGCGGCAGGCCUAACACAUGCAAGUCGAACGGGUCCUUCGGGACUAGUGGCGGACGGGUGAGUAACGCGUGGGAACGUGCCCCUUGGUACGGAAUAGCCCUGGGAAACUGGGAGUAAUACCGUAUGUGGUCGAGAGACGAAAGAUUUAUCGCCAAGGGAUCGGCCCGCGUUGGAUUAGGUAGUUGGUGGGGUAAUGGCCUACCAAGCCGACGAUCCAUAGCUGGUUUGAGAGGAUGAUCAGCCACACUGGGACUGAGACACGGCCCAGACUCCUACGGGAGGCAGCAGUGGGGAAUCUUAGACAAUGGGGGAAACCCUGAUCUAGCCAUGCCGCGUGAUCGAUGAAGGCCUUAGGGUUGUAAAGAUCUUUCAGGUAGGAAGAUAAUGACUGUACCACCAGAAGAAGCCCCGGCUAACUCCGUG